GACGAACGCUGGCGGCGGGCUUAACACAUGCAAGUCGAACGGCAGGGCCCUGCUUUCGUGCGCUGACGGGGUGGCGAACGGGUAAGUAACAGGUGAGUAACCUGCCCUUGACUUUGGGAUAACUUCAGGUAACUGGGGCUAAUACCGGACAGGAGCUCCCGUUCCAGGGAGGGGGGGGGAUAGUCUCGGCGGUCGCGGCUGGACUCGCGGCUUAUCGGCUUGUUGGUUGGGGAGUGGCUUACCAAGGCUUUGAACGGUAGCCGGCCUGUGAGGGUGACCGGCCACAAUGGGACUGAGAGACGGCCCAGACUCCUAUGUGAGGCAGCAGUGGGGAAUAUUGCACAAUGGUCGGACGCCUGAUGCAGCAACGCCGCGUGCGUGAUGACGGCCUUCGGGUUGUAAACCGCUUCCGCCUAUGACGAAGCGUGAGUGACGGUAAUGGGUGAAGAAGCACCGGCUAACUACGUG
rnacentral:rRNA from 1 species